rnacentral:lncRNA from 1 species
AUUGAUAGAAGAAUAUUUAUCCGAAGUUCGAGAUAAAUUACUUCAAACUGUUGAGCAAAAUUCGGAUGCCUCAAUGAAUAGCACAGACGCAAACACAAAAGAUAUUACUGAUUCACAGCCACCAGAAGUUCUGAUAGAAGAAGAAGAGAUUGAAAAAGCCGAAGCCUUCAUCAAAAAAUGGAAAGGAAAAGACAAGCCAUGACAUAAAGACAUGACAUGACUAUUUGAUAAAAAUCUCUGUUGUAACAGUAAAAACACUAUGCACAGGGCCCCAUAUAUUACUGUGCAAGAUUCCNNNNN